ensembl:ncRNA lncRNA:CR43496 long non-coding RNA:CR43496
AGUCGAAGUGAAUUCGCCGCACGCGACAGUUGUGUGCGUUUGGCAGUGCCCAAGUGUCAUUGUAUUGGUGCGUAAGACGAUCGAUUUUUUCGCUGUUGUUAUUGUUUUUGCAGACUAAACAAUCUUUCGACGUUGCGAUCGAUAGCGUAAAUAAAACAGCAAACAUGAGACAUAAGCACAUUCCAUACAUACGCCGUCCACAAAUCCCGUACCUACAGAACGAAGCAGAUAGCACAAUAAUAAUAUAAACGGGAAGCGUCUACCUAGUUUUCUACGAAACGAUGACCACACGCACACACACACACAUUUAAACUUUCAGCGACUCGACUCUUGCGCAUAUCUAAAAGCCCAAGGAAGCCAAGAAUUCUAAAUCGACGUGGCAGUACGCGCUGAUCGAGAGUACAGAACAGACCGCCUAGAAGAGCAACACUGAAACCAUCCAACCCUAUUAUUGUUGAUCAUUAAUCAUAUUUAACCCGCAUUAUCACAAUAUAUCUGUAUGGGAUAAUGGGAUAAUUAAACUUAUGUACCGUUUCAGUUUGAACUCUUCCAACACACAAAACAUAUUUAGUAGGCGCCACUUCACAGUAUUACGAACAAUACUUCUAACACGACUCAUGGUCUGGUUCGUCGAUCGGCGAAUACCAAACACUGUGUGCCAUUUAAGUCUUGAUACACCAGCUGAUAUAAACCAAGCCAAUCGCGAUCCUUAUUAUGACCUUGAUUUUUAAUAUAAAUCAAUAGGGUUGGAGCACAGGAAGGUCUAGUACAUAAUCUGAAAAUGUGUUCGCAACGACGGAAGCAUGUUGUUCUUAUCCUUGAUAACUAUUACUGUAGCACUAUCAUCAUUUCUUUCAUUUGAGGAAUAAAAUAUCCAUGUUU